rnacentral:rRNA from 1 species
UACAGAGGUCUCAAGCGUUGUUCGGAUUCAUUGGGCGUAAAGGGUGCGUAGGCGGCGCGGUAAGUCGGGUGUGAAAUCUCGGAGCUUAACUCCGAAACUGCAUUCGAUACUGCCGUGCUUGAGGACUGGAGAGGAGACUGGAAUUUACGGUGUAGCGGUAAAAUGCGUAGAUAUCUGCAGGAACACCCGUGGCGAAGGCGGCUGGCUGGAUCGCAACUGACGCUGAGGAACGAAAGCUAGGGGAGCAAACAGG